rnacentral:rRNA from 1 species
UACGCAGGGGGCAAGCGUUGUCCGGAUUUAUUGGGCGUAAAGAGCGUGUAGGCGGCCAGAUAAGUCCGCUGUGAAAUCUCGAGGCUCAACUUCGAGCUGUCGGUGGAAACUAUCUGGCUAGAGUCCGGAAGAGGAGAAUGGAAUUCCUGGUGUAGCGGUGAAAUGCGCAGAUAUCAGGAAGAACACCCGUGGCGAAGGCGGUUCUCUGGGACGGUACUGACGCUGAGACGCGAAAGCGUGGGGAGCGAACAGG